rnacentral:rRNA from 1 species
CUACGAAGGGGGCUAGCGUUGUUCGGAAUUACUGGGCGUAAAGCGCGCGUAGGCGGAUUGGUCAGUUAGGGGUGAAAUCCCAGGGCUUAACCCUGGAACUGCCUCUAAUACUGCCAGUCUUGAGUUCGGGAGAGGUGAGUGGAAUUCCUAGUGUAGAGGUGAAAUUCGUAGAUAUUAGGAAGAACACCAGUGGCGAAGUCGACUCACUGGUCCGAUACUGACGCUGAGGUGCGAAAGCGUGGGGAGCAAACAGGAUUAGAAACCCCAGUAGUCC